UUAUGUAUCAAUGUAUAUGAAAAAAAUAUUUAUUUGGUUGAUAAUACAGGAUAAAUAUACACAGUUUUCAUUACUGCAACAGACACAGCAGUAUUUAGCCACUCUGGGAUCACAGCAGUGUUGGGAGGGCUGAUUCUCAGUUUUGCCUCAGAAUGAAAAAUAGGAUAUGAUGAUUUAAAUAAAGAUUGCAUCAAUGCCCACAAUCAAGGAACCAAACUAAAAUUGUUGACAGGAAUGGAAAAAGACUGUCUGAACUAUCCCCACACCUCUAUUCCUGCCCCAAUGACCUCACUUACUGUAAUGUUUCAAACAGUUUAACUGCCACAGACUUUCACACACACCCCCCAAAAAAAAUAAUCACAGAGUGAGAGGAAGCAAAAGUUACAAAUAAUGGACUAUACUGGAUGUCUUCACUUAGCCAUCCCAGAGGCCCAGGACUAUGAAGCUUCUUUUACUGAUAAAUUCCUCCUUUAAUACAUGGUGCUUAGUUUGUUUAAACAUAAAGCACUACAUUUUCAGUAUGACUUCUUAAACUCAUGCUAGGCUGUCUCAGAUUUCCCUGCCAGUGCUUUCCCCAGCUAGGGACUCUCAAAGUAGCAGAACUCUCAUUUCUCCCUUUCAGAACUGGCUAGACUAACCAGAGAGCCACUCCUCAGUGUCAGGCCUAUGGCCAGGAUACGUCACAGAAAGAACUCAGUCACUGCAAACAUGCUCUGGGUGCAUAUCUUUCCACAGAAUGAAAGUCUGGCCCAUAAAAGAUAGUGGGGAGAAUUCAUGUAGUGAAGCUCUAAAUUCAAUCAUCUCAGUCUCCACUACAAGAGAUUCCAGUCCCACAGUCUUACCACCACUGUUUGAACGGAAGCCCCAGUCUUACUCAGCAUGGGCUGUUUGGUUUUGUUCAGAGGAAUAAAUCCAAUAGGAUAACAUGCUCCCUGUAGACACUGGUGACACUACUGAAUGUAAACAUCUGGAUUUACUUUAUAUUUUCAAUAAAAUUAUUCAUUUUAUUUCUGAUUCAUUAAACAGUAAAACACAAUUAAAACAGAGCUCCAAAUUUAAGCAGCUUUUGCUGUAUUUUUAGAAGUAUUCUAUUAUGAAUUUAUUAUGAAAUAUACCUCUUGUCCCUUCCUUCCCUACCAACUGCUUUCUUGUAUUUAUCAUUACUACAAUGAUUAUAGCCAAAAUCAAAUUUGUUUGUUUUUGGUUUUUUUCAUUUUAAAAGAAUAUCAUAUUGACAGGUUUUAAGCCUGAACACCUUUGUUUUUAAAGCCACUGGAAGGGUUAUAUUCAUUAAGGUAUGUGAGUCACAUGCUGCAAAUCAGCAGUGGGGGAGAUGUCUGUAAGUAUCUUCCUGCCUCAUAUACAAAUGGGGUUUAGCCUGCAAAUAGUGGAGGCUAAAGUAAAGCAGGGAGAAUAAACUGCUAAAGCCUUAAAUCACUCUAUACCAUAUCACUUGGGAUCAAAUAGGGACCAGCCAGACAACAAUAUGGAAGAAAGAACUAUAGAACUAUAGAACUAUAGAACUAUAGAACUAUAGAACUAUAGAACUAUAGAACUAUAGAACUAUAGAACUAUAGAACUAUAGAACUAUAGAACUAUAGAACUAUAGAACUAUAGAACUAUAGAACUAUAGAACUAUAGAACUAUAGAACUAUAGAACUAUAGAACUAUAGAACUAUAGAACUAUAGAACUAUAGAACUACAGAACUAUAGAAUUAGUUGUGGACAGGUUUUGGAAGCAAACU
rnacentral:lncRNA from 1 species